UUUGAGCCUUCAGCAAAUCAUAAUCUUUUUGCUGGUGGAGGGUCUUAUAAAAAACAGAAUAUCUGCAAAGAGCAAUAAAGCAAAGCAGAAUAAAACGAGGUAUGCCAAUAAAUAACCCU